GCCGAGGUGCUGGAAUAGGUAGACAGGUCGGUCUCAAAAACCGAUUCCCGCAAGGGAGUGAGGGUUCGAUUCCCUCUCUCGGCA
rnacentral:tRNA from 1 species